UCUAUUUCAUCCCGCGACGGCACAAAUUCUCUGCAUUUGGUUUUUUUGAGAGAUUCGUAAGUGAAGAGGGCAUACUUUUCCAUUUCCGUUCCUGGAAACUGGUCACGGGCCCUGUGACACAAACACUGAGCUUAAAUCACCUGCUGAUAAAAUGGAAGAUCUGUGGGGCGCACCAGGGACUCCUUGACUAAAUGACACGGAGGCGGUGCACACACAGUGCUCCAGUGGUGAAGUGACAUGUGCAAGUUGGUGGGAGAGCCAGGAGUAGGAUCCAGGAGUUCGGGCUCUAAACCAUUAAGACUACUUCUGUAGUUAGGUUUAAUCGCUCUGGCAAGAUAGGUAGCAGUCUAUUUUAUGAGUGGUGAGUGACUGACUUUUCUUUACCGUGUUAUCAUUAUAGAAAAUAACUUGGGGCUCAAAUGAAAUUUAAAAUAGCUCAGAUUAGGAGCUAUGUGAAGCUGCAUCAUUUUUAGGGACAACUCUGACAGGAAUCUUACCUGAGGAGCAGCACCCCCAGGUUUUAUGCGGGGCCUUGGCCACUGGCCCUGCACCCAGGACUCCACUUCCCAGCCUGGGGCGCAGGUCUCAGCAGCUGGCCCCACUCCCUGGCCACUGGCCUCAUGCCUGGAGCUCUGUGCGCAGGGACCUGCUCCCAGCCCCAUUCCUGGCACCCUGCUCCCAGCCCCAGCCUUUGCCCCCUCACCCCUGUCUAGGUCCCCCCUCCCAGAGACACAGCCCUGCUUCCGGCCCCAGAUCUGGGGGAUUGGGGGCAUGGAUGGGGAGGGAUGAGGUAAGAAGUAAAAACUGCUUUCAGCACCCCCACUAUUAAAAGUGUUCCAGCGCCACUGCUCAGUAGCCAGAGUUCUUCUUAGAGCAUGCCCACUGCUAUACCCAUCAAGGGGUGUAGCUUACUCUUCCUGCAUGCACAGCCAGCUUAAAAGAGUGAAGAGCUGCCGCUCCUGUGUUCUACCACUGCACAAGACUCAGCGGGGGCCCCUUGCAGGUCCCCUUCCCCGUCCCAGGAAAUCCAUGGGGCAGCAGGGUAUAACUUGGGUCUGAGAGAAGAUGAGAAGAAAAUCUGACACACAUGCCACUUGAUAUCCUGAUGUUUAGCCCCAUGAUUGCCACCUUAUCUUCACAGAACAGUCCUGAUUUGGAUGGGCUUCUCUCUUUGACAGGCAAUAUGAGUUUUAAAAUAACUUAAGUUUAUCUUUUUAAGGAAAUCAAAUUCAUAACCAUCGUGCAACGACUCUGUCCCAGUGUUCAAAGUCUAUGAGGUGCUAACCUGGAGGUAAAACAUGACUUGGCUGGCGUGGUUAUUACACCUGUUUUUUGGAAAUCAAAGUUCACAAUAUCUAUCUAAAUCAAUGACUUUUCAAAUUAAAUAGCCUCAAAAAUAAUACAUGUAUAUUGGGUUCCAUGUUUUCCCCACACAAAUGAUGAAAUAUGUAACAGUUUUAAACUGGAGAUUGCAGUGUCUUAAGGCAGCUGCAGUCUCCCCUCCAGUCAGGAAGAGGGGGCCCCGAAGUGCGUAGUGAUAAUCAGAGAAGGAGAUGUGUCCAGGGUGGUUGAUGGGAUUAAAUUAUUUAACUAAUCUCUGUUGCAGCCUUUACAAGGCAGGGCUUCUAUGGAGCCGCUGAUGGGAAACUAAAGUUGUGCUCCCUAGGGUAUAGUAGGUAACCUGGGGGAAAGAGAGAGCAAGUUUACAUGUCUGAAAAACUUACGGUUUAGAUUGAUGUCCCCAUAUGGCAACGGCAGUAAUGGGGAGUGCAGUGGAUGAUGCGUGUAACGGAGAAUAGGGUUUCUCUUAUAAAUCUGUUCAACAACCUCAGAGUUCAGGCAGUUCUCCUGGUGGGUUUAAAAAAAGAAAAGGCAUAAUUCCUGGUUCAGUGUGAAUGAUAAUCCAGUGAUGGAUGCAUGUGAACAGAUUGGUCCAAAAAAUUAUUCAACUGCAGUACCAUGUGAAAAAGUCUGUUAGUAAAAUUACUUGUUGCUAAAAGAUACAGCAAUAAAAACUGACCUGCAGAAUUUUCUUCAGGGGGUCAGGCAUCAUUUCAGAAGGGUAUGAGAAGUGCCAGCCAUUCUUCUACACAUUGAAGAUGUAGAAACUUGUAUCAUGGCCAAGUGGCAUUCUCAUCUUGUUUUUAUGCCCAGAACAGAAUAUGCUAUACGCGACUCUCCUAAAUCCAGUACACUUCAUAGUCCUGCCAGUUUCCCUACUUAAAGAAUGUCUGGCCAGAUGUUUUCAGAGUUUGACAGACAAGAUCAAGCAGCUAUUCUCUAAAACACACUACUAUAAGUAAUGAUCAUGAGAGGUGCUUGGUAUUUCCAAUUCCCACUGGCAUCAAAGGGAGUAAUGGGUGCUCAGCAGCUUCCAAGAUGAGGCCCAGAAUGAGCCACGCUUUAAUGCUUUUAUUGCACAGACUAAUCAAAAGAGCUGUGCAGAGGAUGGAAAAUCCAUUUUUGGAAGAAUUUUGAGGUUUCAAAAUUUAUUUUCAUUUCACAUUGGUAUGAAAACAAAACCUUUCUAAAAUUUUUGCAAAAUGGAAUUGUGUCAAAACAUGUUUUCCAAUCAAAAAGAUCAGGUUUUCAAUUAAUCUCUCUCUGGUGAAAAGUAGCCACACAGCCCUGGACCUUAGAAACCUUCUGAAGACACCUGCAGUUUUUAUCUUUACUGAAGAUCCACCACAUUAUCUGCUGAAGUGAGACCAACAGAGAUCCACUGGGAGAGAUGGUAGGCUGGAGCGCAGCUCAGUGCACACAAAAACCUAAUGCUCAUGAACAAAUUACCUGUCUCUUUGAAGAUUUUCUCAUCAGGCGGUACCACCGAGCAGAGGCUAUUCAGGACUAGGGUACCCAAUUUCAGGGC